UAAACUGGGAUUAGAUACCCCAUUAUUUUAAAUUAUAAAUUGAUUUUUUUCUACCUAAGUAUUAUGAAUUUAUAUUUAAAAUUUAAAGGACUUGGCGGUGUCUUAGACUAUUUAGGGGAACCUGUUUUUUAAUCGAUAGUCCUCGUUUUACCUUACCUUUUUUUGUUUUCAGUUUGUAUACCGUCGUCGUCAGUUAACUUUAUAGAAUAUAGAAGUUGUCUUUUUAAAUUUUAGUUUUAGAUGUCAGAUCAAGGUGCAGCUUAUAGAUAGGUAAAUAUGGGUUACAAUUAUUUAAUUAUAAUAUGAAUAGUUUUAUGAAAUAUAUUAUUUGAAGGAGGACUUAAAAGUAAUUUAAUUUAGAUAUAUUUGAUGAAUAUGGCUCUUGGAUGUGCACACACCGCCCGUCACCCUCA
rnacentral:rRNA from 1 species